GUUCUGUGAUAGGAAGAUGACAUGGCAGAUUCAGUGGUCAAGGAGCUUGGAUGGUCUUGGACUCAGGCGCCCUGACAAUGGUCUGUAGAACAAGAUGAGGUGGAUGUCUUUCUGGGAAGACUGAGAAGGCAAGUUCAUUUACUUGGAAGACAGGAGACGUUCGGCCUCAAGGCAAGAGAGAAGCAAAAGCUGACAAAGCAAACCCUGCAGGACACUCGGGUCUAAAUCACUUUCACUGAGAAACCCGCAUCCUGGCAGCUUGCAGCAGAUGGAGAAAUGUCCCCAAGAUUUCAGAGCCCAAUGUGAUACAGACGGCGGAAGAGUCAGGACCUCCUAGCUGAGCACUGCUGCUCCUCGGGAGACACCUUACAGAACCUUUAGAAAUGCGAUCCAGACUAGAUAGCCAUCCCCGCGGAGGAUGCUAAGCAAAUAUACAACACACAGGCUAAGCCCACAACCAACCAGCAAUAUACCGCCAUCAACAUGGCCUCAGAAUCCUACUUAACACAAUGUUCCCGGCAGCAACACCUGGGCUCUCAAAAUAAAACCCAUUUGGAGAGGCAGAACUAGGUUAGGGGGUUGCAAAUAUGGGUUCCCUCAAGCAGCGGAAGCUCGUUUCUCUGCAGAACUCAUUCGAGGAUUCAACAAAUAGUAACGUGGCUACCACGAGCUGACCCCAUGCAUCACACCUCACAGUGGUCAGCAAGCCGGACGGGCCUGAGUGGGCUCAGGAGGCUUACGCUUGAGGAGAGAAGGCAGCAGCUUAGCAAGGACUGAAAUCUGAUACUACCACGAGAGAGUAAUAAAGAGAACCCUGUUAGGCAGCACGGUCAGGGCCGAUCACACAGUGCAGAUCCCCGGGAAGGACAGGGUACCUGCACGAGCGGUGAACCUGCUGGAGGCCAGUGACUGGAGAUGGUGAGGAAGCGACCAACGAGAAGGCGAGAGGGGGAGGAGCGGGCGGCUCUCCCUUCCCUGCAGGCCCAGAGGCGCAAAUGCUGCCAGAGAUGAGGGACGGGUGAUUCACUGCUCACGUCACCCUUGUUCCGCACCGACGUUUUGCUCAGCUUAGAACAGUAGCUGGGUGAAGAGGCAGUAAGCCCAGACUUGGCACGGAGAAGAGCAGCUGGGCCCAGCUUUGCCUCUGAGCCUGGGCAGCGCUGCCGUCUGGCCUGAGGUUUGCUUACCGAGUCCCUCCCUCACCUUAACAUCAGGCCCCGCUGAAGGGAAACUUUCCACAGCAAAGCAGGGGAGGCUCAAGCUAUUUGCACAGGUGGCGAGCACCCCGGAGCAGCAAGGACCCGGGCUGACCUCACCAACUUCUCUCCGAAUGUCCACCAUAUGGUUGGCAGGGCUAAAGGAGCGCCCCUGGCGCCAGCCAGCCAGCCAGCCAGGGGCCUGGCACCGGGACCCACGUAUUGGCAGAUGAGAAAUGACCAACAGAAAAACCUAUAUUCCAAGGCUACGUGAUCACCACCCUGCUGGAUUGGUCCUGCUUCCUUCUUUCCACGAGGCACUCGUUCUGCCUCUGGUUACAAAACCGCACCUUCUGAAGGGGCAGCGCACCCCCUGGCAGUAACCUCCCCUCUGUCACUUACAAAUCCAUUCAUUUCCGAUGGAGCUGUUCCAGGGCCCUUCAAAGAACCUGGCCCGUGUGAGCUGCACAAACAAAUUAGGAGCCAGCCUUUCCCAAAUGCCUCUAUUUCAUUUAAAAACCUUCUUUAAUGAAGAUAUAAGGCCUUGGAUGAGGCUGAAACACCAGCUUACCAUGCAUGAUAGCGGAUCUUUCUCACAGACGAUUUCCAAUGCCUGUAAAACUUUUUAAAUACCCGAUGGCUUAAAAGGAAAGAAACAGAGAUUACCUUGUUAUGGGCUCAAUUGUCCUUUUUAUAUGCCCUGUAAGUGACCAUAAUCCAAAAAUCAGCACAGACGAUAGAGAUGUAAGGCGACUUCAGACACGCACAUACCCUGCUUUGUCAGUGAAAAAUUAAAAUGCAACGCCAGGCACAUGACUAUUUCGAAGCAUCAGGCUAGAAAAGAGAUACCCUCACCUUUUUCAGCUUCCUACUGUGCACCUCCCAAUUAUUUAUUACUGAGAUGCUCCCGAGGCACCAUAAACACACACACACAUGCAAAAACCCCAGGCCUGGCUCACGUAUAUACGGCUUGAUUUUAAAAUAUUAGUAUCUUUGCUCUUCCCAUUAAAGCUGAAAAUAUUGUUGGGAGUUAUAACUUCAUGAAUGAAAAACCCAUAAAAAUCUUUUAAGAGACCUAAUCUUUUAAUUAAUCUCACCUCAAUGCUGCUCAAGGGUUUAAACGAAUUUGGUUGGUUUUAAAAGAUAAAAGAUCAGAAUGCUUUAAAAUAGCUUCUUAUAAUUUCAGUACCUACUUAAAGGUCCAAAAAGGAAUACUUGAAAAAUGCCUCGUCCUAGAAUCAGGGUUCAAGACAGCUCUUUAAAAAUCUCCGGUCCAAACCGCAAGGUGACAUCUAUAUCCCUUCUGCCAUAGAGCUUCCAAGGGGCGCUCAUGCCCUGGCUGCAGGGCUCCAGGGUGAACGUGUUACUGCUCCGCCAGACAGCCUGACCCUCGCAGCUGUGCUAGGAGACUGUUCUGCCAUCUCCCUUCCCCCAACUUCUACCCUCGAGUCCUAGCUUCAGCUCUUAAGAGUCACAGAGCACAAGGUCAAGUUCAUGUAAAAAAAAUACUACUUUUGAGUAUUAGUGAAUUUGAGCUACAUUUAAAUCUGGCAAACCCGUGGGCUAGAGAGGAUAUAAACCCUCAGGGGUGCUCUGGCACUGCUGGCGAGAGAGUAUAUUGAAGCAACCUCUUAGGAAAACAGUUUGGCAUUACCUCCUGAAGUUGACAUUGACAGCACCCUCCAACCCAGCAAUCCCACACCCAGGAGUGCACCUGAGAGGCACUCUUGCUCACAUACGUGAGAAUUUUCAAAGAAGCUCUGAUUAAAAUAGCAAAACCCAGGACAUGACCACUGGUCUUCAGAAAGCAGAUGACUACAAUGGGAUACAUUCACAUCAUAGAAUAUUGCACGGUGACCAUAAUACUUAUCUGAUAGACAAUUAGGCCAUAUGGACUAAUCUUAAUAACACACUAUUAAGGAAAAAAUUAUUCCCAAAAGAUAAUAUGCAGCAUGAUCUUUUGCUUUUUUACAAAGUUGAAAGUAAAUGUUUUUGAGUUGUUUUUUAGGAACACAUAGAGAUGCCUAAAACGCUGUAAAAAGAAGUGAAGCAGUAGGGACCAAGGGACUCAGGGUGAUGGAGAGCUCGGUGAGGGGAAGGCAGGGGAGAGGAUGGAGUGUGGGCCUAUGACAUGGUUAGAUGUAGGACAUCAAAAUCGUGGCCUUUGUUCUGCGUGAUGGGGUGUGAAGAUACUCAUUAGCCAUUAACUGUAACUGCUUACAUAACUGUCUAAAAGCAGGCCCUGAAUGAAAGCAAACAGAAAUGACCGUCCGUGGGCAGCAGGCGGGAUUACAACACAGGAUGGCUGCCACUCCCCUCACUCCGGAAAGCCUGCUUCCAUCCCGGGAGCCUCUGUAAGAAUUACAACAUAGCGUUUGCUGUGUAGAAGCACUGAAGUCAUUAAUUGGAUUCCAGAUGUCUGGAAUUGAUUUAUCCCUUCACUGCAUCCCCCAGCCCGGGAUCUAUUUUGGGUCUAACACUUCACACAGGGCGCUGUUCUUAAUUAAACCUGCUCUGCCUUCAGAGCUUUACGUCUGUGAGACAGUCCUCCAAACAUUCUCCUCUCCGUAAAUUUGCUCUUAUGUCCUGUUUCCAAAGCAAAAGUAAUACUUGCUGGGAUUUUAAUAAACAUGUCUGUGGUAGAAAUAUAAAUUUCACACGCUUCCUACAUUUCAUAGUCCUCUUCUUUAUGCCGAUUCCCACGCCAAGCCUGCACUUUAGGGGCUUUGCGGUUCAAGCUCCAUUUCUGCUGCCCACCAGUGGGGGCAACGAAACGGAUGCUGAUCGCUCUUUAGGUUGGAAACACAGACACGAUGUUGAAAAAAGUCAUUAAUUUCCAAGCGACACUGUGCCUCUCCCACUGUAACGGUUGCUUUUGGUGACAUCUGACUCCCGCUCACUGACAUUAGACUGAAGCACAGUAGCCACGUUACCCGUCCAACAUCUGCGACUGGUUCCUAACUUGUUACUCAGCCUGUGUCUACUGGAAGCCAAAAUGGAAAAUGUUUAAAAAUCAAGCAAACUAAUUUUUUGCCAUCCAAGAGGCAAAACAACCUGCUGACUGUCCUUCUACUUUGCAAAUGGUUAUUUGAGCCUCAGGUGGAGGGGCGACUCAUCUACUUAUAAAGCAAGUCAGAUUCGAGACUUAAUUUUUUUCAGCCAAAAGGCAGCUGAAUCUCGAGAAGCAAACACUGCUUUAAGGAAAAUGAACCCCUGGCCGAGGUGGGAUGCUCUUGGUCCAAUACUAGGGGCCCUUCUGCUCUAGGGAAGUGGAGACAUAGAAGGGUGGGGGCCCAGGAUUACAGACAGCAUCAUUCUGUUGUUCUGCGACUUUUGUUAUUAUUGGCAGAGCUCUGAUGAGCGCCUGCUGAGUACCAGGUACGGAGGUGAUCUCAUUCCAUCCUCCUCAGAGUACCUGCCUCAUGGUGCCGGCUUCUCCACUUGCAGGUGAGGAAAUUAAGGCUCAGAGAUGCGAUCUUACAGCUCGUGGGUGGUGGGACCUGCAUCCCCUCUCUCAGAAAACAGUACUAAGCAUCUGCUACGCACUGGGGACUAGUCUGAGGAAUCAAAACCAAAGCCCUGUUGCCUACAGAAUCUCCUUGGAUCAACGGUGGGGUGGGCAAGAGGCAUAACAUUGUUGUCCCCGUUUUACAGAGAAGGAAACAAAGGUUCAGAGAAAUUAAGUGAAUUGCUUAAGUCUCCUGCAGUCUUGGGCUGAAAGACUCAACAUGUUUCUCUACAAAAAAGGACCCUCUAUUAAAAACAACACGGGUGGCCUGCAUGUGGUUCCUGCAACGGGACAUCGCAACUGAGGACGCGCGUGCUGGAGGAUCCCUUAUUCAAAAGCAGAAAUUAAAUUCUGGGUAACGGGCCAGCGCGGUUUCAGCUCAGACUUUUCACCCUUGCUGUCUAUGCUCUGGUCCAGAAUCACUGAUCCCUGACACGGCUUUCUUGGUGUGACAGGCCCUCAUUUACUACUUUACCCUCAUCUCUCAGCUCCUUGCACUAUUUCCAUCCUAUUUAAGUAGAAGUGGUUCUUUAAACAACCUGCUUCAUCUGUCACCACCAGCCUCGCACAUGGAACACACCGCUUCCCCCGUUCCCCCGCGGCUCUACUCGGGGGCCCUUUUAUGAGGUUCCAUUUCAGGACGUUUAUUUUGUUGUGAGCGCUUUCCCAUGUGUCUGUCUUCCCCACUAACCUAUAGGUUCUGUGAGCCGAAAGCCACUGCUCAUUAACAAUAUUCAGUCUUUCCUUAACUUUCAAAACAUCAAUGCCACAUGGUUCAAUCUAAUACCUUAGCAGCGACCUUACAAAACUGGAGCCAGGAACAUAACAGGUGUCCACGGAACACUUCUUGUCGCAAGAAACCAACCAUAACAGAUACUCAGACAGUUACCACCGCCGUCACUCCUCAAGGAAGGCUGUGAUUACGUUCUCUAGGCCAAAUGCUGUAACGCUAAUGCAGAAACGGAGACAAGACGCUGUGGAGGACGACACAGGACAAACCAAGAUUUCUUUGCAGCCCGCAUCAACCCGAAACUUUACUAGUUUUACCUAAUUGUAUUUCAAGAGGACAAUAAACUUAUGAAGGCUCUGAGUAGAGAGCCGAGCUGUGGGCAUCCCUGGUCUGUGACAAUGACUUCCCAGUGGCAUCUCCCCUCCUUCAGGGACAACUGGGGAGAAAAACACACAGUGAGCAGGAGGCAAAUGAAAGAUACGCUUGUGCCCACUUGGAGGUCAGCAUCCCACCCUUCCUUGUGAUCCGUCAUUAAUGACAAUUUCAUUUCUUCAGAGGCUGGAAAAUCACCACGGAGGCUGGCCUCAGUGGUCCCACAGCUGAUCCUCCUUUGAAGGAAAAGCUUGAGAGAAAAUGUAGACAACAGAGUGGCGGCCAGGCCACUGUUUUGUCUGUGCUCCACCGGGGAGUGCCCACGGCCACGUCCCUUUCCUGCGCCAGCCCCGUCCUGACGCCCUCGCGUCUUACACUGGCGGGGGGGGGGGGGCGGUCACCUCACCCUGCAGACCUCACCCUGCAGGAUGCCUGCCAGUUUCUACAAAGUUCCUUCUCAUCGUGGACACUCUUUUCCAUGGAUUCUUCAUUGUAUAUGUGCACAGGCUGUGUGUCAAAUGGAGCUUCCUGUGCCUCUGCUCACAGUGCAUUACAUCUUUAAUCAGUAUAUAUAAUUACUUACAGCAAGCUGCCAGGCCAGAUUUUCUGAGCAUUAGUCUAAUUAACUUAAGCUUGAUAAUUAUGUUCCAGAUACCAGAGCAGUACACACAGAAUUUGCAGAUUAAUGCCACCAGCUUAUUUGAUUCCUAUAUUAUGUCUUCUCAGACAGUGGGUUCGUUUUUUGGGGUUUUUGUUUUAAUAGCCAUCUGAUAAUUACUUAGGUUUCAAAGUUUUCCCUCAAAU